CGGUGCCGGUACUGGCUGCGCACGCGCGCCGCCUCAUUUCCGGUGCUCUCUUUCGCUGGGUCGCUCGGGUCGGCUUCGGUCGCCGUCGCUCCCGCUCUCCCACCUUCGCCAACCGUCGCUCGGGCCUCUGCCGCUGCCGCGUCGCUUCCUCGAUCCCUCGAUCGCAUAUUCUCCACAAUGCAGCGCCGGGACGACCCCGCCGCGCGCAUGAGUCGGUCCUCAGGCCGCAGCGGCUCCAUGGACCCCUCAGGUGCCCACCCCUCGGUGCGUCAGGCGCCGUCUCGGCAGCCGCCGCUGCCUCACCGGUCCCGGGGAGGCGGAGGGGGGUCCCGGGGGGGCGCCCGGGCCUCGCCCGCCACGCAGCCGCCGCCGCUGCUGCCGCCCUCGGCCACGGGUCCCGACGCGACUGUGGGCGGUCCAGCGCCGACCCCGCUGCUGCCCCCCUCAGCCACUGCCUCGGUCAAGAUGGAGCCGGAGAACAAGUACCUGCCCGAACUCAUGGCCGAGAAGGACUCGCUCGACCCGUCCUUCACUCACGCCAUGCAGUUGCUGACGGCAGAAAUUGAGAAGAUUCAGAAAGGGGAUUCAAAAAAGGACGAUGAGGAGAAUUACUUGGAUUUAUUUUCUCACAAGAACAUGAAGCUGAAGGAGAGGGUUCUGAUACCUGUCAAGCAGUAUCCCAAGUUCAAUUUUGUGGGGAAGAUCCUUGGACCACAAGGGAAUACAAUCAAAAGACUGCAAGAAGAGACUGGUGCAAAGAUUUCUGUGUUGGGAAAGGGCUCAAUGAGAGACAAGGCCAAGGAGGAAGAGCUGCGCAAAGGUGGAGACCCCAAAUAUGCCCACUUGAAUAUGGAUCUGCAUGUCUUCAUUGAAGUUUUUGGACCCCCAUGUGAGGCUUAUGCUCUUAUGGCCCAUGCUAUGGAGGAAGUCAAGAAGUUUCUAGUACCAGAUAUGAUGGAUGAUAUCUGCCAGGAGCAGUUCCUAGAGCUCUCCUACUUGAAUGGAGUACCAGAGCCCUCUCGCGGACGUGGGGUGCCGGUGAGAGGCCGGGGAGCUGCACCUCCUCCUCCACCUGUUCCCAGGGGCCGAGGUGUUGGACCACCUCGGGGGGCUUUAGUGCGUGGUACACCAGUGAGAGGAGCCAUCACCAGAGGUGCCACUGUGACUCGAGGAGUGCCACCCCCACCUACUGUGAGGGGUGCUCCAGCACCAAGAGCACGGACAGCAGGCAUCCAGAGAAUACCUUUGCCUCCACCACCUGCACCAGAAACUUAUGAAGAAUAUGGAUAUGAUGAUACAUAUGCAGAACAGAGUUAUGAAGGCUACGAAGGCUAUUACAGCCAAAGCCAAGGGGACUCAGAAUAUUAUGACUAUGGACAUGGGGAGGUUCAAGAUUCUUAUGAAGCAUAUGGCCAAGAUGACUGGAAUGGGACCAGGCCGUCGCUGAAGGCCCCUCCAGCUAGGCCGGUGAAGGGAGCAUACAGAGAGCACCCAUAUGGACGUUAUUAAAAACAAACAUGAGGGGAAAAUAUCAGUUAUGAGCAAAGUUGUUACUGAUUUCUUGUAUCUCCCAGGAUUCCUGUUGCUUUACCCACAACAGACAAGUGAUUGAAAACUCCUGAGGCAUUUCUUGGAGUAGAAUGGGUAGUGAAGACCCAUGUCAGCAUCAGAGGACUCCCGGAAACCAGGAGAGCCGCCUGCUGUGUCAAGGCUGGCCUGAGGGCAUUUGCUGAGCACAGAGAGACCCAGGAGAGGAGAUCAACAGUCUUUUCCCACCCACCUCUUGAUCUGUCUGAUUUACCCACAGAAAGCCACCCAGAAUCCUCUAAGAGUCCCUAGGCCCAGAAUGGAGUCCUUAGGGCUACAGGGGGCUGUGAUGCUAACAGUUAAACCUGCUUAGGACUUUAAAGAAUUGAAAGGGACUAACAGUAUCCUCAGCAUGGCCUCCUAGACGUGAAUAAACUGGCAGCUCUUACCGUGUCAUUCCCAGUUUGCCUGCUUCCCCUUAGUCUCCAGCAGCACUGGCUGGAACACCCUACCACCACCUAUUUCCCACCCUACCACACGUGUGUUGUGGAUGCCAGCCUUGAACACUUGCAGAGGGCUCCCAGAGAGUGGCUGGUCACCAACUCUGUAACAGGCUGAGGAAAGUCAAGUUAGAAGGUUCGGGUACUUUAGGCAAGUUAUUUAACCUCGGAGCCUGUUUUUCUCUUCAUUUUUGAUUACUAACGUCCAAAGAUCUCCUGAAGGAUAGGGUAGGGCUUUUCCCACUUCACUCUGGACUAUAUCCCUUCCCCAGCAAACAUCUGGCACUGAGGAGCUCAAUAAAGUUUCAGUCAAGUGAUGAAUAGUCCCACUCCGGUAGCUUUUAUCAGCUUUGGGAGAGAGCCAAAGGAGGUCCCCUAACUCCCACUCUCUAUCCAGCUAUAUUGGGCUAGCCAUUUAUCCUAACAUUUUCUCUUAAAGGAUUGGAAAGUCAGCCUUUCCUAGACUUCUGGUUUCCUGUGGCCAAUGCCAUAGGCUGGUUUUACACUGAGCACCCGGAGAGGUUAGGGACCUCUCUAAUACUACACUCUUCCUUCAAUGCCCUCUGGUUAUUUAUCCCAACAAGGGAACCAGGAGAAGGGCUGAGUUUGGAGAGACCUAUCCAGACUGUGCCUGAGGCAUUCUAAUGAGCUUUGGAUUCUGUUCUUAGCAGUAAAGGGACCUUGAAAUUGGUUGAUUUACUUUGGGCAAGUUGUUUAACCUCUAAGCCCAUUUUUAUCUUCAUUAUUGAUUAAAAUAUAUAAUAGCUAAUAAUUUAUUGAAUGCUUAGUUGUACCAGGCACUAUGUCAAGCAUUUAUAUGUACUAUUUGACUUAAUCCUCCAAUCCACUAUACUCAUUUUACAGAUGCGGAAACAGAGGCUCAAAGAGGAUAAAUAACUUGCCUAAGGUUAAAGAAAGGUGCUAUCAGACUCUAUAGCCCCUGCUUUUGACCUGUUUGUACCUCUUAGAGCCACCAAGUACUUUGAAACAGUAAAGCAUUGUGUUUGAGAGAUUUAUUUAGGGUGACAAACGAUCCAGGUUUUACAUGACUGAGAAGAUUCCUGGGGUAUUGAACUUCAGUCCUAAAACCAGGAAAGUCCCAGGCAAACUGAGAUGAGUUUGUCAGUCUGUUUGCACUGAGACUCAGUCCAGAGUUGGCCAUUGAGGCUUCAUUUUCCCUGACUUCUUAGUCACCUACGCCUCAUCUUGUGGCCAGUUUCUUUAGCAUUUGAGGACCUGCUUCAGUCCAGCAGGCAGGAGAGGAAUUUAGGACAGGGGGCAGUUAGGGAAUCAGAUGGCGUCCUGGUCAUGGAAAAAUGGAGGUGCAGAACCUGGGUCACUAUUUGAGAAGCCAGCGCUAGAUUCUAGGCAGCCUUACCUUCAACCCCCAGAUGCAGGAUACCUACUUGGGAGCCAUGGAAUUACAGGGAAGUCCACAAGGGCCAAAGCCAAACAUCUAGAUUCAAAUCCUAGCUCCUCACUUAUGUGUAUUUUUCUGGGCCUGUUUACUCUGUAAAAGUAGGAUAAUCGUCCCAAUCCACUGAAUGGCAUCUGAGAAGCAACUGAAAUGUGUGUGAAAUACUUCACACAGAGUCUAUCCAAAUACUGCUCAACACUUAGGUGUCCUUCCUCCUCUUUUCCGGCUUGUGUUUCUUACCCAGCCCUGUCACCUGUCGAGUCUUAUCACAUACUCCCUCCUCCCAUUACCACUUGCAGCCCUAGGGAUUUUCCUUUGAGAGCCCUGACCCUAGUGGGCCUGGCCCACCCACCCAGCUGCCCUGCAUGUCAGUCACCUCGCCUGCAAGCGGAGAAGGGAUGACAUCAGCUUUUCCCCCUCCCCCAUCCAAAGCCUCUGGACUGUUUUGAGCCAUAAAUAUUUUAGCUGGGCCUUUCUCUGGCUGUUGCCGGGGUGAUGGACUCUCAGGGGACUGGGGUGGGAGUGUGGAGGCGGGGCUCGGCAGCCUGGGGCCUAGAAGCAGAGCUGGCCCUUGAGGGGCGGGUUUGAAGUCUGGCCAAGAGCCAGUGCUUGCAGCAGCGAUUCUGAAGGCUGUUGCUCUGUCUGCCUGCCUUCCCUUUCCUGGGCCCUGCAGAGCCGUUCUUACUGCUUUCCAGGCCCAGCUUUGCCCUCGAGUACCACUUGAUCUUGGGUUAAUUGCUAAAUACCGCUGGGCCUUGAUUUUAACAUCUGUAACAGAAAAGUCCCUGUUUAAAUCACUGUAAGUGGGAAAGGUAAGUCAAAGGAGGUUUUGUAAAAAUCCGAUGAAACAAGUUUUGUUAGUAAGUCAUGAUUGGAGCAGCUAGGUCCCACAGCCCUUUCUGAUAGACCUGCAUGCUGGGGUCCCAGGGCAAUGUAGAUGCCACUCUAAAGGCUGAUAGAUGUGGCACUGCCUCCCAUUCUCCCCGCCCCCCAUUCCUCAUGCUGUAGCCCCAGCUCCUUUUCUGAAGUUCCCUGGCCUGGCCCACGGUGUUCUAAGGAGUUUGGCCCUUAUGAGUAGAGUUGAUGAAAGCCUUUUUUGAUUAAGAUACAGAAAUUCAGGCCCCCAAACUGGAUCUGUCCCUCACUCUCUUCUACCACACCCCCCCCCCACCUCCAUCCUAGAGCUCUUCAGUCUGAAUAGCUGCUAAACUCUAGCUUGCAGCAGCAUGCCCACUCCUCUCCUUGGGAUGGGUCUAAGAAACAAAAGAGGGCCAGAGAGGGGGCGCCUGGAUCCACUCCCUACCCCUACCAUCGAGAAGCUCUGGAUUGGGUCCAGAAUUCCACAUCCCCUGCCUAGCCCUGCCCACCAGUUUUCCUGUGGAGCUGGGAGCUGGGCUUCCUUUGUGUCGAGCUCCCUCUGGUGGCUUAGCUGUGCAUUGCAUAAAAUAAUACCUCAAGCGAGACUAAAUUGCAGGCCGCCCUGAGAGAUGGGAUUGUUCUAUACCAAGAAGAAUCCUUGACCCCAACUCCUGAUGACAGCCAUUCCAUUUCCUAUAUAGGAUUACUCUGCCAUAUGUUUGCUUCUCUAGGUCAUUAAUCCUCACAACAAUUCAAUGACAUGAGAAUUACCCUAAUUUUACAGAUGAAACAGGAUUAGAGAGGUGAACAAAUCCAAACUCUUCACUGUAUGUAGCCUGUAGUGUUCAGGAUCCUCAAGUGAUAGGAACUUAGCCUGUUUUUCCAGCCCCAUAUUCCAUUCUCCCAAGCCAAAAUGACUUACUCUUCUGGAACAUAGCUUGCCUCUGGACCUUUGCUCAUGCUGUUUUCUCUAUCUUCAUUGCCCCCACCCCCACACAGUACAUUACAUACCAAAAUCCACACAUUUUUGAAAAACUAAAGAAAUGCAGGAUUUUCUCAAGCUUGCAUAUAUUAUCUUUGUAAUAACCAAAUAUUAUAAGACAUGGAUGAGAACAAAUGUCUGGAUGAGAACAGGUGGGUGAGUGUCCCUGAGAUGUGGAAGGUUGGAUGGGGAGACUAACAUGUACGUGGAAGUGAGAAUUGCCCAGGAAAUUAAAAGAACAUGAAGACAUCUGGGUUCUCUGGUAGGUUUUUGUAGUGAAAAUUCGAUGUUGUAAGUAUUCUUGCUGGCAAAAGAGCAAAUCUCUGGGAAGCUGAGGCAGAGAUUCAGGUGACAUUUCUUCAAAAGUCACCGAUCUUAAAUUCACAUUAGUUUUCUUGUUACUUAAUAUAUCCAUGUUUUAAUAACAAUAACAGGUGAUAACAGGUGAUACUUAAAUAGCACUUCCCAGGCACCGGGUAUGUUCUAAGUACUUUACACAGACUAACUUAAUCUUCAUCAUAAUCUCAUAAGAUAGAUACUAAUACUACCCUCACUGUUUUUUUUCAAUUGAGGUAUAGUUGGUUUACAAUAUUAGUUUCAGGUGUACAGCAUAGUGGUUCGAAAUUUUUAUAGACUAUACUCCAUUUAAAGUUAUUAUAACUUUAUAUUGGCUAUAUUCCCCGUUCUGUACAAUAUAUCCUUGUAGCUUAUUUUAUACAUAGUAGUUUGUACCUCUUCAUCCCCUACCCUUAUCUUGCCACUUUCCUCUUCCCUCUCCCCACUGGUAACCACUAGCUUGUUCUCUACACCUGUGAGUUAUACUAUCCUCACUUUACACUGGGGAAACUAAGGCAUAGAGAGGUUAAGUAAUUUCCUAAGGUCGUGCACCUAGUAAGUGGUAAAGCCAGGAUUUGAUUCCAUAUAAGUCUGGCUCAGAGAAGGUGCUGUGGAUAACUACACUUUUAAUAUUGAAAAUAUUGCCUUACAUUGCCAUGAAUAAAACUGACACUCCAGGAAGCAGUAUUGUGUUUUAUCCUGCAGUUUCAGGACCCCCGCUGUGUACCACCAGAGGUCUGCAUAAUCCAGGGUGAAAACUGAUCAGACUUGCCAGCCUUGGCCCCAGAAUAACAGGACCAAGGAAGAGAUCCCAAUUCCUGAUAUCCAAUGACACAUGAUUGGCCUAGAGCCAGUGGCAUUUCCUCAAAAACUCAAGACUCCUGGAAGAGCCAAUAGAGAGCAAGUUAAUCAGGAAAUGAAGACAUACAGGAGGGAAGUGAGGGCUUCGAGGUCACAAAACAGCUGAGAUGUGGGGCCACAGAUCUAGAGGACAAGAACCUAACCAACAUCCUGCCAUCUUAUGAUUAUUUUCCCAGGGAGCCUGUAGGCGGCAGAUGUAAAAGGAUUAAGGCCCUAGACGUUUCUGGUAGAUACUGAGAAGUGUAUAUUGUUCUAGAUUCUUGCAGUAGCAGUUGUCAGACACUAAACACAAACUGGCUUUUUGUUAACAGCAAAGUCCAUAAAGGCUUCAGGUAUAACUAGAUCAAAUGAUGCCAUCAAGAAAGUGUCUCCUGACUUCUUUUAAAUACAUUUAUUUAUUUAUUUUUA